rnacentral:rRNA from 1 species
AAUUCUCGUGCCAGCAGCCGCGUUAAUUCCAGCUCCAAUAGCGUAUACUAAAGUUGUUGCAGUUAAAAAGCUCGUAGUUGAAUUUCUGGUCGUGGCAAUCGGUCAGCCCCUCACGGGGUUCGUACCAGGUUGCUGCGUCCAUCCUCGGGGAGAGCACAUCGGGCAUUCAGUUGUCUGGUGUGGGAUCCUCGUCAUUUACUGUGAGCAAAAUAGAGUGUUCAAAGCAGGCUUAGGCCGUUGAAUACAUUAGCAUGGAAUAAUGGAAUAGGACUUUGGUCUUAUUUGUUGGUUUAUGGGACCGAAGUAAUGAUUAACAGGGACAGUUGGGGCCGUUUAUAUUUCGUUGUCAGAGGUGAAAUUCUUGGA